AUGAGGAUCGCGUACCUACGCGCGCACUGCUGGCACGUCGUGGUGCUCGCCGACGUCGUGGCCGUGUCCUUCCCGGUCUCUGCUGCAUUGGCCCCGCACUUGCACCCCGGCAGAGGCCAUUCGCAGCAGCGCGCCGAGCUUGAGCAGAGGAGAAUAGCACAAGAUGGCAGCCAACGUACGACGACAAUAGACCCAGAGUCUGGCAGCCAAUAUAUAGCGACGUUCUUCUUGUUUGAGGCCAAGCUAGUGCAUGAGCUCCGGGCGCGGUUGGAAAUGGAGGGCCUUCUGAUUAUUUUGCUCACUAUUGUGUUGUUAUGCAUUAGCACAGAGCACAACAAGGACGAGAGUCAUCAUGUGUGA
rnacentral:rRNA from 1 species